AGGACCCAUCUGCAACAUCUCAAAGUAUCAGCCAAUUAGGUAGUACCGCUGUAGCAUGUGGGGUAGAUCGCCUUCGUUUCCUCCCCAGUGAGUCCUCAGAGAUGAUGCAGCUCUUCUGGCUGGAGGGCACCACCACCGUCCUAUAAGUUCUUCACCAAGAUGUGGCACAUGUUCGGCAGGAUUAUCUGUUCUGUAGUCUCCUUUCUGGCAUGUAUGGACACCAUCCCUGAUUUCCCGUUUUCGAUGUCCGAAUAAUGGAGUAUAUCUAUUAGACAUAACACUGACAGUAAUUUAUUCAGUGGGCUAUCUCUUGUCUUGUCUGUAAAGAUCUUAGAAAUAAUUGCUUCAAAGAA